GUGUAGGUGGUGGGGGCUUGUUCUAUGCCGCCACGCAGUGGUGGGUCGUGGGGAUGAUAGUUGGAAGCCGCUGCUCUUAGGAGAGUUGGUUCUGUUCGAGUCACCAUGUGACUACUGUAUGUACUUUUUAAAUACAGAAAAGGGAAUAUUGAAAGAAACUGCUUGUCUUAAUACUGUAGGAUAAUAUGUAUUGUUCUGCUAAUGUUGGCAAAAUAAACCUGGCUUUUUUUUC